ACUCUAAGCGGUGGAUCACUCGGCUCAUGGGUCGAUGAAGAACGCAGCAAACUGUGCGUCAUCGUGUGAACUGCAGGACACAUGAACAUCGACAUUUUCAACGCAUAUCGCAGUCCAUGCUGUUAUGUACUUUAAUUAAUUUUAUAGUGCUGCUUGGACUACAUAUGGUUGAGGGUUGUAAGACUAUGCUAAUUAAGUUGCUUAUAAAUUUUUAUAAGCAUAUGGUAUAUUAUUGGAUAAAUAUAAUAAUUUUUAUUCAUAAUAUUAAAAAAUAAAUGAAAAACAUUAUCUCACAUUUGAAUGUGAAAAACGAAGAGAAAUAUUUUCUUUUUCAAUCAAAUAAUACUGAGAAAUGUCUAGCAUAAAAAAUUGAAAUAUUUUUCAUCUAGAAUUGUCUCUUAUUAAUGAUUCGGAAAUAGAAAAAUCUUGGUUAUGUUAUUAUUCUUCGUUGGUUCGUUAAAAAUGGAUAAAUAAAAACUUUGCAUACAAGAAUUAAUAAAAAUGUUAUAACGAAUUUAAUUAAAUGUUUUAUCAUUAUAUAUAAAGAAUUUAUGGCAAGAUAAAGUUAUAUACAACCUCAACUCAUAUGGGACUACCCCCUGAAUUUAAGCAUAUUAAUUAGGGGAGGAAAAGAAACUAACAAGGAUUUUCUUAGUAGCGGCGAGCGAAAAGAAAACAGUUCAGCACUAAGUCACUUUGUCUAUAUGGCAAAUGUGAGAUGCAGUGUAUGGAGCGUCAAUAUUCUAGUAUGAGAAAUUAACGAUUUAAGUCCUUCUUAAAUGAGGCCAUUUACCCAUAGAGGGUGCCAGGCCCGUAUAACGUUAAUGAUUACUAGAUGAUGUUUCCAAAGAGUCGUGUUGCUUGAUAGUGCAGCACUAAGUGGGUGGUAAACUCCAUCUAAAACUAAAUAUAACCAUGAGACCGAUAGUAAACAAGUACCGUGAGGGAAAGUUGAAAAGAACUCUGAAUAGAGAGUUAAACAGUACGUGAAACUGCUUAGAGGUUAAGCCCGAUGAACCUGAAUAUCCGUUAUGGAAAAUUCAUCAUUAAAAUUGUAAUAUUUAAAUAAUAUUAUGAGAAUAGUGUGCAUUUUUUCCAUAUAAGGACAUUGUAAUCUAUUAGCAUAUACCAAAUUUAUCAUAAAAUAUAACUUAUAGUUUAUUCCAAUUAAAUUGCUUGCAUUUUAACACAGAAUAAAUGUUAUUAAUUUGAUAAAGUGCUGAUAGAUUUAUAUGAUUACAGUGCGUUAAUUUUUCGGAAUUAUAUAAUGGCAUAAUUAUCAUUGAUUUUUGUGUUUAUUAUAUGCACUUGUAUGAUUAACAAUGCGAAAGAUUCAGGAUACCUUCGGGACCCGUCUUGAAACACGGACCAAGGAGUCUAACAUAUGUGCAAGUUAUUGGGAUAUAAACCUAAUAGCGUAAUUAACUUGACUAAUAAUGGGAUUAGUUUUUUAGCUAUUUAUAGCUAAUUAACACAAUCCCGGGGCGUUCUAUAUAGUUAUGUAUAAUGUAUAUUUAUAUUAUUUAUGCCUCUAACUGGAACGUACCUUGAGCAUAUAUGCUGUGACCCGAAAGAUGGUGAACUAUACUUGAUCAGGUUGAAGUCAGGGGAAACCCUGAUGGAAGACCGAAACAGUUCUGACGUGCAAAUCGAUUGUCAGAAUUGAGUAUAGGGGCGAAAGACCAAUCGAACCAUCUAGUAGCUGGUUCCUUCCGAAGUUUCCCUCAGGAUAGCUGGUGCAUUUUAAUAUUAUAUAAAAUAAUCUUAUCUGGUAAAGCGAAUGAUUAGAGGCCUUAGGGUCGAAACGAUCUUAACCUAUUCUCAAACUUUAAAUGGGUAAGAACCUUAACUUUCUUGAUAUGAAGUUCAAGGUUAUGAUAUAAUGUGCCCAGUGGGCCACUUUUGGUAAGCAGAACUGGCGCUGUGGGAUGAACCAAACGUAAUGUUACGGUGCCCAAAUUAACAACUCAUGCAGAUACCAUGAAAGGCGUUGGUUGCUUAAAACAGCAGGACGGUGAUCAUGGAAGUCGAAAUCCGCUAAGGAGUGUGUAACAACUCACCUGCCGAAGCAACUAGCCCUUAAAAUGGAUGGCGCUUAAGUUGUAUACCUAUACAUUACCGCUAAAGUAGAUGAUUUAUAUUACUUGUGAUAUAAAUUUUGAAACUUUAGUGAGUAGGAAGGUACAAUGGUAUGCGUAGAAGUGUUUGGCGUAAGCCUGCAUGGAGCUGCCAUUGGUACAGAUCUUGGUGGUAGUAGCAAAUAAUCGAAUGAGACCUUGGAGGACUGAAGUGGAGAAGGGUUUCGUGUGAACAGUGGUUGAUCACGAGUUAGUCGGUCCUAAGUUCAAGGCGAAAGCCGAAAAUUUUCAAGUAAAACAAAAAUGCCUAACUAUAUAAACAAAGCGAAUUAUAAUACACUUGAAUAAUUUUGAACGAAAGGGAAUACGGUUCCAAUUCCGUAACCUGUUGAGUAUCCGUUUGUUAUUAAAUAUGGGCCUCGUGCUCAUCCUGGCAACAGGAACGACCAUAAAGAAGCCGUCGAGAGAUAUCGGAAGAGUUUUCUUUUCUGUUUUAUAGCCGUACUACCAUGGAAGUCUUUCGCAGAGAGAUAUGGUAGAUGGGCUAGAAGAGCAUGACAUAUACUGUUGUGUCGAUAUUUUCUCCUCGGACCUUGAAAAUUUAUGGUGGGGACACGCAAACUUCUCAACAGGCCGUACCAAUAUCCGCAGCUGGUCUCCAAGGUGAAGAGUCUCUAGUCGAUAGGAUAAUGUAGGUAAGGGAAGUCGGCAAAUUAGAUCCGUAACUUCGGGAUAAGGAUUGGCUCUGAAGAUUGAGAUAGUCGGGCUUGAUUGGGAAACAAUAACAUGGUUUAUGUGCUCGUUCUGGGUAAAUAGAGUUUCUAGCAUUUAUGUUAGUUACUUGUUCCCCGGAUAGUUUAGUUACGUAGCCAAUUGUGGAACUUUCUUGCUAAAAUUUUUAAGAAUACUAUUUGGGUUAAACCAAUUAGUUCUUAUUAAUUAUAACGAUUAUCAAUUAACAAUCAAUUCAGAACUGGCACGGACUUGGGGAAUCCGACUGUCUAAUUAAAACAAAGCAUUGUGAUGGCCCUAGCGGGUGUUGACACAAUGUGAUUUCUGCCCAGUGCUCUGAAUGUCAAAGUGAAGAAAUAGCCAAAUGCCUCG
rnacentral:rRNA from 1 species